AAGGAUUUAAGUUAUAUAAACUAGUUGCCUUCAAAGCACCAAUAAAAGGUCUCCUUUAAGCCUUA
rnacentral:tRNA from 1 species